rnacentral:rRNA from 1 species
AGUGAACGCUGGCGGUAGGCCUAACACAUGCAAGUCGAACGGCAGCACAGUAAGAGCUUGCUCUUACGGGUGGCGAGUGGCGGACGGGUGAGGAAUACAUCGGAAUCUACUUUUUCGUGGGGGAUAACGUAGGGAAACUUACGCUAAUACCGCAUACGACCUACGGGUGAAAGCAGGGGAUCUUCGGACCUUGCGCGAUUGACUGAGCCGAUGUCGGAUUAGCUAGUUGGCGGGGUAAAGGCCCACCAAGGCGACGAUCCGUAGCUGGUCUGAGAGGAUGAUCAGCCACACUGGAACUGAGACACGGCCCAGACUCCUACGGGAGGCGGCAGUGGGGAAUAUUGGACAAUGGGCGCAAGCCUGAUCCAGCCAUACCGCGUGGGUGAAGAAGGCCUUCGGGUUGUAAAGCCCUUUUGUUGGGAAAGAAAAGCAGCAGGUUAAUACCCCGCUGUUCUGACGGUACCCAAAGAAUAAGCACCGGCUAACUUCGUG